rnacentral:rRNA from 1 species
AUUGAACGCUGGCGGCAGGACUAACACAUGCAAGUCGAACGGAGUGGCGGACGGGUGAGUAAUGUCUGGGAAACUGCAUGGUAGUGGGGGAUAAAGUCCGGAAACGGGCGCUAAUACCGCAUCCUAUCGGAUUAGCCUAGGACGGAUUAGGUAGUUGGUGGGGUAAAGGCCAACAAAGGCGACGAUCCGUAAAUGGUCUGAGAGGUUGAUCAGGCACACUGGAACUGAGACACGGUCCAGACUCCCACGGGAGGCAUCAUUGGGGAAUAUUGGACAAUGGGCGAAAGCCUGAUCCAGCCAUGCCGCGUGUGUGAAGAAGGUCCUCGGAUUGUAAAGCACUUUAAGUUGAGAGGCGUUACCAACAGAAUAAGCACCGGCUAACUUCGUGCCAGCAGCCGCGGUAAUUC